rnacentral:piRNA from 1 species
GAACAAUAUUAUUCAGACCUGGAGGC